GCCAGGCGUGGUGGUGCAUGCCUGUGGUCCCAGCUACCUGGGAGGCUGAGGUGGGAGGAUCGCUUGAGUCCAGGAGUUCAAGACUGCAGUGAGCCGUGAUCAUGCCACUGCACUCCAGCCUGGGCAACAGAGCAAGACUUCAUCUCAA
rnacentral:SRP_RNA from 1 species